rnacentral:rRNA from 1 species
CCUACGGGCGGCAGCAGUGGGGAAUAUUGCACAAUGGGGGAAACCCUGAUGCAGCGACGCCGCGUGAGUGAAGAAGUAAUUCGUUAUGUAAAGCUCUAUCAGCAGGGACGAAAAUGACGGUACCUGAGUAAGAAGCCACGGCUAACUACGUGACAGCAGCCGCGGUAAUACGUAGGGGGCAAGCGUUAUCCGGAUUUACUGGGUGGAAAGGGAGCGUAGACGGCAGUGCAAGUCUGGAGUGAAAGGCGGGGGCUCAACCCCCGGACUGCUCUGGAAACUGUACGGCUGGAGUGCAGGAGUGGUAAGUGGAAGUCCUAGUGUAGCGGUGAAAUGCGUAGAGAUUAGGAGGAACACCAGUGGCGAAGGCGGCUUACUGGACUGUAACUGACGUUGAGGCUCGAAAGCGUGGGGAGCAAACAGGAUUAGAUACCCCGGUAGUC